rnacentral:rRNA from 1 species
UACGUAGGUGGCAAGCGUUUGUCCGGAUUUAUUGGGUUUAAAGAGCUCGUAGGCGGUCUGUCGCGUCUGCUGUGAAAACUCAGGGCUUAACCCUGAGCUUGCAGUGGGUACGGGCAGACUAGAGUGCGGUAGGGGAGACUGGAAUUCCUGGUGUAGCGGUGGAAUGCGCAGAUAUCAGGAGGAACACCGGUGGCGAAGGCGGGUCUCUGGGCAGUAACUGACGCUGGAGGAGCGAAAAGCGUGGGGAGCGAACAGG